rnacentral:rRNA from 1 species
GAUGAACGCUGGCGGCGUGCUUAACACAUGCAAGUCGAACGGUGAAGCAGGAGCUUGCUCUUGUGGAUCAGUGGCGAACGGGUGAGUAACACGUGAGCAACCUGCCCCUGACUCUGGGAUAAGCGCUGGAAACGGCGUCUAAUACUGGAUAUGUGAUGUGACCGCAUGGUCUGCAUCUGGAAAGAAUUUCGGUUGGGGAUGGGCUCGCGGCCUAUCAGCUUGUUGGUGAGGUAAUGGCUCACCAAGGCGUCGACGGGUAGCCGGCCUGAGAGGGGGACCGGCCACACGGGGAGAGGGACACGGCCCAGACUCCUACGGGAGGCAGCAGUGGGGAAUAUUGCACAAUGGGCGGAAGCCUGAUGCAGAAACGCCGCGUGAGGGAUGACGGCCUUCGGGUUGUAAACCUCUUUUAGCAGGGAAGAAGCGAAAGUGACGGUACCUGCAGAAAAAGCACCGGCUAACUACGUGCCAGCAGCCGCCGUAA